CUCUGAAAACUAUUAAAAAAAAAUCAUUAUUAACACUAUCAAAUACAUAUCUCUUUAUAUAGGUAGCUAAACAGUUAUUCAUUAAUUGAUCACAAAUACGGUUAUGCAAUUUUGUCUUUAUAAAGUUCAUUACUGAAAAUAGUUACUGUAGAGUUUUAAAAGUCAAAAAAAUCUUUGAAUACACAACGUGAUUUUGUCUCAACUUGUUUUAAAGUUUAUCAAAAAGAGGUUCAGCG
rnacentral:misc_RNA from 1 species